AGUUCUUCAGUGGCACGCUUUACGUCCCCUCCAGCAGCUAAAGCUGCCAGUUGAAGAACUGU
rnacentral:pre_miRNA from 1 species